UACGUAGGGGGCGAGCGUUGUUCGGAAUUAUUGGGCGUAAAGCGCGUGUAGGCGGUUCGGUAAGGCGGAUGUGAAAUCCCGGGGCUCAACCCCGGGCCGGCAUCCGCGACUGCCGGGCUGGAGUGUGGGAGGGGAGAGCGGAAUUCCUGGUGUAGCGGUGAAAUGCGUAGAUAUCAGGAGGAACACCGGUGGCGAAGGCGGCUCUCUGGACCAUAACUGACGCUGAGACGCGAAAGUCAGGGGAGCAAACAGG
rnacentral:rRNA from 2 species